GACGAACUUUGGCGGCGUGCUUAACACAUGCAAGUCGAACGGAAAGGCCCUGCUUUUGUGGGGUGCUCGAGUGGCGAACGGGUGAGUAACACGUGAGUAACCUGCCCUUGACUUUGGGAUAACUUCAGGAAACUGGGGCUAAUACCGGAUAGGAGCUCCUGCUGCAUGGUGGGGGUUGGAAAGUUUCGGCGGUUGGGGAUGGACUCGCGGCUUAUCAGCUUGUUGGUGGGGUAGUGGCUUACCAAGGCUUUGACGGGUAGCCGGCCUGAGAGGGUGACCGGCCACAUUGGGACUGAGAUACGGCCCAGACUCCUACGGGAGGCAGCAGUGGGGAAUAUUGCACAAUGGGCGGAAGCCUGAUGCAGCAACGCCGCGUGCGGGAUGACGGCCUUCGGGCUGUAAACCGCUUUCGCCUGUGACGAAGCGUGAGUGACGGUAAUGGGUAAAGAAGCACCGGCUAACUACGUGCCAGCAGCCGCGGUGAUACGUAGGGUGCGAGCGUUGUCCGGAUUUAUUGGGCGUAAAGGGCUCGUAGGUGGUUGAUCGCGUCGGAAGUGUAAUCUUGGGGCUUAACCCUGAGCGUGCUUUCGAUACGGGUUGACUUGAGGAAGGUAGGGGAGAAUGGAAUUCCUGGUGGAGCGGUGGAAUGCGCAGAUAUCAGGAGGAACACCAGUGGCGAAGGCGGUUCUCUGGGCCUUUCCUGACGCUGAGGAGCGAAAGCGUGGGGAGCGAACAGGCUUAGAUACCCUGGUAGUCCACGCUGUAAACGGUGGGUACUAGGUGUGGGGUCCAUUCCACGGGUUCCGUGCCGUAGCUAACGCUUUAAGUACCCCGCCUGGGGAGUACGGCCGCAAGGCUAAAACUCAAAGGAAUUGACGGGGCCCCGCACAAGCGGCGGAGCAUGCGGAUUAAUUCGAUGCAACGCGUAGAACCUUACCUGGGUUUGACAUGGAUCGGGAGUGCUCAGAGAUGGGUGUGCCUCUUUUGGGGUCGGUUCACAGGUGGUGCAUGCCUGUCGUCAGCUCGUGUCGUGAGAUGUUGGGUUAAGUCCCGCAACGAGCGCAACCCUUGUUCACUGUUGCCAGCACGUUAUGGUGGGGACUCAGUGGAGACCGCCGGGGUCAACUCGGAGGAAGGUGGGGAUGACGUCAAGUCAUCAUGCCCCUUAUGUCCAGGGCUUCACGCAUGCUACAAUGGCUGGUACAGAGAGUGGCGAGCCUGUGAGGGUGAGCGAAUCUCGGAAAGCCGGUCUCAGUCCGGAUUGGGGUCUGCAACUCGACCUCAUGAAGUCGGAGUCGCUAGUAAUCGCAGAUCAGCAACGCUGCGGUGAAUACGUUCCCGGGGC
rnacentral:rRNA from 1 species